UACGUAGGGGGCAAGCGUUGUCCGGAAUUAUUGGGCGUAAAGAGCGUGUAGGCGGUCCGGUAAGUCAGCUGUGAAAGUCAAGGGCUCAACCCUUGAAAGCCGGUUGAUACUGUCGAGCUCGAGUCCGGAAGAGGCGAGUGGAAUUCCUGGUGUAGCGGUGAAAUGCGCAGAUAUCAGGAGGAACACCAAUGGCGAAGGCAGCUCGCUGGGACGGUACUGACGCUGAGACGCGAAAGCGUGGGGAGCAAACAGG
rnacentral:rRNA from 1 species